GACGAACGCUGGCGGCGUGCUUAACACAUGCAAGUCGAACGGAAAGGCCCUGCUUUUGUGGGGUGCUCGAGUGGCGAACGGGUGAGUAACACGUGAGUAACCUGCCCUUGACUUUGGGAUAACUUCAGGAAACUGGGGCUAAUACCGGAUAGGAGCUCCUGCUGCAUGGUGGGGGUUGGAAAGUUUCGGCGGUUGGGGCUGGACUCGCGGCUUAUCAGCUUGUUGGUGGGGUAGUGGCUUACCAAGGCUUUGACGGGUAGCCGGCCUGAGAGGGUGACCGGCGACAUUGGGCCUGAGAGACGCACCAGACUCCUACGGGAGGCAGCAGGGGGGAGUAUUGCACAAUGGGCGGGAGCCUGUGGCAACAACGCCGCGUUCGGGAUGCCGGCCUUCGGGUUGUAAACCGCUUUCGCCUGUGACGAAGCGUGAGUGACGGUAAUGGGUAAAGAAGCACCGGCUAACUACGUG
rnacentral:rRNA from 1 species